rnacentral:lncRNA from 1 species
AAUUCUUAAUUCCCAAACGACUAACCUAAAUCCUAAUUCCGAGAAACCCUAACACCUAAACCAGCAACCACAACUGACCACACCAGUCCUCGUCGACUUCCACCAGCCAGGCAGCCACCAGUCUCCCUCUCGUCGUCUCGCCACUCCAUCUCGCCAUAGCCAGAGCAGCAGUCAGCAGAUGGCAAGUUUCAAUGGUCGUUCGACCUUCGUAUUAUUUUUUCAUCAUCUCGAAUGAAACUUCUGGUGCUGACGGCUCAUUGAUUAACUCCACUGUUUAAAGGCUUGGAUUCUUGGCAUACAUAAUUACACUAUUGAUUACGGCUUCAUAAAGGCUCAUUGAUUGACUCCACUAGAGCAGAAACAUCCUACAAUUCCACUUCUUUGUUUGCUUUUUUCCUUCUUUGUUAUCCGGCAAUUCCUCUCCAGUGGUUGAAAUCUUAGUGUUAUCUUGAACCUCCAAACUUAUCCAAAUUAAGCAGGGAACCAAGGUCCCUGCCCUUAUUUGUAACUUCCAUAUCAUAAAGUCUUAAUUUGUCUACCAAUAUAUUCUCUCAAGACAAACUUGAUUCGGGUUUGCAAGAGAAGUUAUUGCAGAUAAUUUAUGGUUUACUCUAAAGUCUAUUUAAAACAGUCUUGAAAUCUAUUUUUUAACAUAAAUGUUGCUUCCUUAUUUACUAGCACAAUGUAAUAGAAAUGAGCCCUGUUACUAAAAUUGAGAAGAGAUAUUCCAAAAGAUGGC